GAUGAACGCUGACAGAAUGCUUAACACAUGCAAGUCGAUGGGGAAGUGGUGCUUGCACCCUGGUAACCCUGGCGGACGGGUGAGUAACGCGUAAGGAACUUACCUGCGGGACCGGGAUAACAGCAGGAAACUGCUGACAAGACCGGAUAAGGUCAUUAAGCUGCAUAGCUUAGUGAUGAAAGGAGACGCCUGCGGAGAGCCUUGCGUCCUAUUAGCUAGUUGGAGGGGUAACGGCCCACCAAGGCGAAGAUAGGUAGCCGGCCUGAGAGGGUGGACGGCCACAAGGGGACUGAGAUACGGCCCUUACUCCUACGGGAGGCAGCAGUGGGGAAUAUUGGACAAUGGGGGCAACCCUGAUCCAGCAAUUCUGUGUGCACGAAGACGGUUUUCGGAUUGUAAAGUGCUUUCAGCAGGGAAGAAGGAAGUGACGGUACCUGCAGAAGAAGCGACGGCUAAAUACGUG
rnacentral:rRNA from 1 species